rnacentral:rRNA from 1 species
AGCAACUUGCAGGAAUGAGAGUUAAUAUAAAAGAUUUAUUAACUUGCUUGACUAGGUUUUAUAAAGUUCUGGAUAAAGCUGAUAAUGACAACUUUAUAUCCAUAGGUCUCGACCAAAUCUUGUGCCAGCAGUCGCGGUAAGACAAGGGAGACGAGUGUUAUUCAUCUUAAACAGGUAUAUUGGGUACCUAGACUGUGUAUGAAGGCUUUUAUAGUACCUACUACACUAGAGUUUAAUAUGUGAGAGGAAGAUGUCAGAAUUAUUGGAGUAGAGAUGAAAUCCUUUAAUACUAAUAGGACUGAUAAUGGCGAAGGCAAACCUCUAUGUAUAUGUACUUUAAUUACAAUUUUUUUUUAGACUUAUAUUGAUUUGUUUAGAAUACUAUGUAUUAGUAUAAAAAUUGUUUUUCUACAUGGGAUAAAAAUUUUACGAAAACAGUUUAAGAUAUAUCAUUUUACUCUGAAUUUUUAUUAUAUAUGAACUCAAACACAUAGAGAUCAUAAAGGAGAAGUAAAGUACUAAACUGACGUUGAGGGACGAAGGCUCAGAGAGUGAAGAGGAUUAGAUACCCCCGUAGCCUGGGCAGACAAUGAUGAGUGCCAUAGGUUGGCUUUUAGUUGAACUAUAAAUGAAAGUGGAAGCACUCCACCUCAAGAGUAAUGUGGCAACGCAGGAACUGAAAUCAUUAGACCGUUUCUGAAACCAGUAGUGAAGUAUGUUAUUUAAUUCGAUGAUCCGCGAAUAACCUUACCACAAUUUGAAUGAUCUAAAUUAGAAUUUAAACACAAGAAGGUAUUAGACUGUUAGGAUACUUAAUUUUAUCCUGAUAUUACCUUUGUCCUUUUUGUGUUAUUUAGACCACAUGCGUUGCAUGGCUGUCUUCAGUUAAUGUCGUGAGAUUUGGUUAGGUCCAUUAAAUUAACGUAAACCCUUGUUUUAUUUAAUAUAAUAAGGCAGCUCUCCGCUCACAAUUGGAUUGAUAACAGGGACUAAGACAAGUCAUCAUGGCCUUAAUAUUGUGGGCUAUAGACGUGCCACAUAUGCCUUUACAAAGGGAUGCAAUAAUGCGA